CCUACGGGAGGCAGCAGUGAGGAAUAUUGGUCAAUGGGCGCGAGCCUGAACCAGCCAAGUCGCGUGAGGGAAGACGGUCCUAUGGAUUGUAAACCUCUUUUGUCGGGGAGCAAAAGACGCCACGCGUGGCGUUCCGAGAGUACCCGAAGAAAAAGCAUCGGCUAACUCCGUGCCAGCAGCCGCGGUAAUACGGAGGAUGCGAGCGUUAUCCGGAUUUAUUGGGUUUAAAGGGUGCGCAGGCGGAAGAUCAAGUCAGUGGUAAAAUUGAGAGGCUCAACCUCUUCGAGCCGUUGAAACUGGUUGUCUUGAGUGAGUGAGAAGUAUGCGGAAUGCGUGGUGUAGCGGUGAAAUGCAUAGAUAUCACGCAGAACUCCGAUUGCGAAGGCAGCAUACCGGCGCUCAACUGACGCUCAUGCACGAAAGUGUGGGUAUCGAACAGGAUUAGAUACCCCGGUAGUC
rnacentral:rRNA from 1 species